CGGGCUCAAGCCAUCAGUGCAAACGCCACCCCGGUGGCAUCAGGUAAACUGUGCCCAGCGGGCACAUGCAUUUACAGUAACCCUCUGGCACUCAGGUUUUAAGGGAUACGGCAAUUAACGGGUUAAUCCGAAGCAUCAAGACUUUGAAAUCACAUACACAGAACAAUAUUCAUUAAGAAAGUGAAAUUAAAUGAUUAAUAAACUAUUUAUUCGAACCCUCGCUAUUUUCUAUUCUAAUAAAAGUUUUGGCUGUGGAACAUCUGUAAUAGAGUUGGCUAGCUGGAUGCAAAUAAAGUCAUGCCUUUUAUUUUUUCCCGUUUGCUAUUUCACAUUCCUGUCACUGAAGCGUUGUGGCCUAAGACACAGAAGGUAACUGAAACAAUGUGGUUUAAGUCAAGGUGAUUAUUAGGGGUCCAAGCACAUUGGUUUGUGUAGAUGAUGCAGUUACACAAUGAACGUGUCUCUUUUCAAGUAAAUUAUGAGUCCUUAUGUGAGUACUAUUAUAUGCACAACAUGAAAAUAGAUAACUAAUAUAGUGUCCCUUCUACACUUUUUCAGUAAUGUGUGAUAACUUGAGAAAUAUGUUGUCAAUACAAUUAAAAUAACAAAGUAAUGGUAUUUAGGAGAUGAUAGCUUUUGCAUAAUUACUAUAUUGGGCUUUAUUAAAGUUUAUGAAAAAAGAAUGAAUGUUUAUGCAUUUUUUGUUUAUGCACAUAAGUGAAACAUUUUCAAGUCUUUGAACAGAUCUUGAAGUAUUUGCUAUCCUGUGGCGCCAUCGAGUGGACAACAUUAGCAUUGUGGCCUUCAUUUUUGAACAACAUUAUGAAAGGGGCCAAUAUUUUUUGAAUGAUUAUAAAUAUUUAAUGAUUAUUUACUGAUAAUAUACCCACAUUAAAAUCUAAUUUACUGAUUCUGUAUCUUAUUUCAUGCUUAAUCAUGAGUAUAAUUUUCAAUUUACAUUUUUAAGCAGUGUUGAAUGAUUACUAUGUGAGUUGCAAAUUUUUUGUUUUGUUUUGUUUGUUU
ensembl:lncRNA